GCCUGCUCCCAUCUCUCGCGCGCUCUCUCUCUUCUGCUCUCUCCCUCCCUUUGCAAACAUUGGAUUUAAACCUGCUCAGAAUUCAGCACAGAGGAAGGCAGCAGCGGUAGCAGCAGCAGAAGCAGGAGCAAGCCCGACAGCCCAGAGCACUACAGCGUCGAGAUGUACCAUCCCGCCUACUGGAUCGUCUUCUCUGCCACAACUGCCCUGCUCUUCAUCCCAGGUUUUCUGAACUCACCACUUAUCUACAAAAGGGCCCUGGAGGGAGAAGAG
rnacentral:lncRNA from 1 species